CCUGGUGGCUCAGAGGGUAAAGCGUCUGCCUGCAGUGCAGGAGACCUUGGUUCAAUCCCUGGGUCAGGA
rnacentral:tRNA from 1 species